AAGCUCGUAGUUGAAUUUCGGGGUCAGCAGGUUGGUCGUGCCACUGGUAUGAACUGGCCUUGCUGAUUCCUCCUUCUUGAAGAACCGUGAUGCCAUUAAUUUGGUGUUGCGGGGAAACAGGACUGUUACUUUGAAAAAAUUAGAGUGUUUAAAGCAGGCUAACGCUUGAAUACAUUAGCAUGGAAUAAUAAAAUAGGACGUUUAAUCCUAUUUUGUUGGUUUCUAGGGUUGACGUAAUGAUUAAUAGGGAUAGUUGGG
rnacentral:rRNA from 1 species